rnacentral:tRNA from 1 species
UUAAUAGAAGCCAAAAAGAGGCUAUUCAUUGUUAAUGAAUAAAUUGAAUUUUUCCUAUUAAG